UCUCCGUUGGUAAACCAGCGGAGGGAUCAUUACAGGACUCGCAAGACUCCUACACCCCUGUGAACUUAACUAUAAGCACGUUGCUUCGGCGGGUGUCUCGGAGGGGGUUCUCCCUCCCCGAGACGCUAAACCCGCCGGCAGCCUACUAUACUCUGUCUCUUUGCGUUGGCAUCUCGAGUACAAUCAAACAAGUUAAAACUUUCAACAACGGAUCUCUUGGUUCUG
rnacentral:misc_RNA from 1 species